GGGAUUUGAGUCCUACAGGCUCAGCACUUAUGAAAAAGGAUAAAGUCCUUCCCAGCCUGGCAGGAGAAGGAAAAGCCUGUGGUGGGGGAAGGGAGUGAAGGCGUGUGCCUCCUCAUGGAACACAGGGUCGGAGUCGGCUAGGAGGGAUAAGAGUACAAUAGAGGGUUGUGUGACACAGACAGGCUGCCAGCCCUCAGCAUGGACCCGGCACAUGGAAUCUGUGAUCUUAAAAGAGUCAAGUGACUACCUUUGGCAACCAAAAGAGACACUGCCUUUUAGAAGGCAUAUCAUCUGAAACUGGCUGAAAGAGCUGUCUUACUUAGGAAGAAAAAUCUCUCCUUUGGAAAGAGCUGGAACUUUUAGUAAAACUGAACAGUGAGGUGGCGGAAGGAUCGAGGCUAUCAAGCUACAGAUGAUCUUACAAAUGGAACCCCAAAUGAGCUCAACUAACAACUACCAAGGACCCCUGGACCAACCCGCUGGCCCUUUCAAUGGCCUAAAGAGUUCCCCUCUGGAGGACACUACAACUGCAGGGUCCUUUCUUUGCCCCUAUCCAGCAGGAAGUAGCUAGAGUGGUCAUCACCCAAUUCCCAACAGCAGUUGGGGUGUCUUGUUAAGUGGGGAGAUUGAGAGGUGAAGCCAGCUGGGCUUCUGGGUUGGGUGGGGACUUGGAGAACUUUUCUGUCUAGCUAGAGGAUUGUAAACACACCAAUCAGUGCUAUGUGUCUAGCUAGAGGUUUGUAAAUGCACCAAUCAGCACUCUGUAAAAACGGACCAAUCAGCACUCUGUAAAAUGGACCAAUCAGUAGGAUGCGGGCAGGGCCAAAUAAGGGAAUAAAAGCUGGCCACCUGAGUCAGCAGUGGCAACCCACUCGGGUCCCCUUCCAUGCUGUGGAAGCUUUGUUCUUUCACUCUUCACAAUAAAUCUUGCUGCUGCUCACUCUUUGGGUCCACACCACCUUUAUGAGCUGCAACACUCACUGCGAAGGUCUUCAGCUUCACUCCUGAAGUCAGCGAGACCACGAACCCAUGGGGAGGAACAAUCGACUUCAGACAUGCCACCUUUAAGAGCUGUAACACUCACUGCGAAGGUCUGUGGCUUCACUCCUGAAGUCAGCAAGACCACGAACCCACUGGAAGGAAGAAAUUUCGGACACAUCUGAACAUCUGAAUGAACAAACUCUGGACACGCCAUCUUUAAGAACUGUAACACUCACUGUGAGGGUUCAUGGGUUCAUUCUUGAAGUCAGCAAGACCAAGAACCCACCAGAAGGAACCAAUUCCGGACACAGACUCACUGCAACCUCCACCUCCUGGAUUCAAGUGAUUCUCCUGCCUCAGCCUCCGGAGUAGCUGUGCCUACAGGCACAAGCCACCACACACGGCUAAUUUUUUGUAUUUUUAGUAGAGAUGGGGUUUCACCAUGUUGCUCAGGCUGGUCUCCAACUCCUGAGCUCAAGUGAUCCACCUGUCUCGGCCUCCCAAAGUGUUGGGAUACAUGUGUGAGCCACUGUGCCCGGCCUCCUCUGGAUUAGUUCUUACAGGAAUAGAUUAGUUCUUGCUCGAGCAAGUUGUUAUAAAAGUGAGGUUGCCUCUAGUGUUUUGCAUCCUCACAUAUGUCUGCUUACCUCUUGACCUCUCUCUGUGUUAUGACCCAGCACAAAAGCCCUUACCAGAAGCCAAGCAGAUGCUGAUGCCACACCCCUUGGACUUCUCAGUCUACAGAGCCAUGAAACGAAUAAACCUCUCUUUAUAAAUUAUCCAGCUUCAGGUAUUCUGUUAUAGCAACACAAAAUGGAC
rnacentral:lncRNA from 10 species